rnacentral:lncRNA from 1 species
CUCCACUCCGAGGAUCUUUACAGCACUGCAUCUGACGGCUGAGAAUAAAAGUGUCCUAAACACACAAGCUUGAAAAUCGCUUCACCUUACAGCCGAAACCUCCGUCUCUACGGGCAUGUGAAUGUGAGCACAUAUUUGUAUUUAUGGGGAGAAUUUAUGGGCUGUUUGCCUGUGUGCACCAAUGAUUCCAGGCUCAUCAGAGAACAUGUUGUAGAAAACAGCAUGAAGAAAUUUAACGAGAAAAAAAGAAAACGGAUGGAAGAAAACUUAACCUUCGUGAGAGUCGUGUCAAUCUAUAAACUAGUAAAUGAUCACCUUUAUUACAGGUGUGCAAACCCAGGGAACAUGAGUCCUGGACUUGAGGAAUGGGGCAGAGGAAGAGAAGGUCAUUCAGUAACCACCCUCCACUCGGGGUAG